rnacentral:rRNA from 1 species
AACGAACGCUGGCGGCAUGCCUAACACAUGCAAGUCGAACGAGCCCUUCGGGUCUAGUGUCGCACGGGUGCGUAACGCGUGGGAACCUGCCCUUAGGUUCGGAAUAACUCCCCGAAAGGGGUGCUAAUACCGGAUAAUGUCUUCGGACCAAAGAUUUAUCGCCUUUGGUUGGGCCCGCGUUGGAUUAGCUAGUUGGUAGGGUAAAAGCAUACCAAGGCGACGAUCCAUAGCUGGUCUGAGAGGAUGAUCAGCCACACUGGGACUGAGACACGGCCCAGACUCCUACGGGAGGCAGCAGUGGGGAAUAUUGGAAAAUGGGCGAAAGCAUGAUCCAGCAAUGCCGCGUGAGUGAUGAAGGCCUUAGGGUUGUAAAGCUCUUUUACCCGGGAUGAUAAUGACAGUACCGGGAGAAUAAGCCCCGGCUAACUCCGUG